rnacentral:rRNA from 1 species
GUGGGGAAUCUUGCGCAAUGGGCGAAAGCCUGACGCAGCCAUGCCGCGUGAAUGAUGAAGGUCUUAGGAUUGUAAAAUUCUUUCACCGGGGACGAUAAUGACGGUACCCGGAGAAGAAGCUCCGGCUAACUUCGUGCCAGCAGCCGCGGUAAUACGAAGGGGGCUAGCGUUGCGCGGAAUUACUGGGCGUAAAGGGCGCGUAGGCGGACAGCUUAGUCAGAGGUGAAAGCCCAGGGCUCAACCUUGGAAUUGCCUUUGAUACUGGCUGUCUUGAGUUUGGGAGAUGUGAGUGGAACUCCGAGUGUAGAGGUGAAAUUCGUAGAUAUUCGGAAGAACACCAGUGGCGAAGGCGACUCACUGGCCCAAUACUGACGCUGAGGCGCGAAAGCGUGGGGAGCAAACAGGAUUAGAAACCCCGGUAGUCC